AUAUGUUCUGUUCUGGGACGGAAGGAUUCGAACCUCCGAAUAGCGGGACCAAAACC
rnacentral:tRNA from 1 species